UGGCCAGAUGCCAAGUGACAAG
rnacentral:misc_RNA from 1 species